rnacentral:rRNA from 1 species
AUAUUGCACAAUGGGGGAAACCCUGAUGCAGCGACGCCGCGUGAGUGAAGAAGUAUUUCGGUAUGUAAAGCUCUAUCAGCAGGGAAGAAAAUGAUGGUACCUGAUUAAGAAACCCCGGCUAACUACGUGCCAGCCGCCGCGGUAAUACGUAGGGGGUAAGCGUUAUCCGGAUUUACUGGGUGUAAAGGGAGCGUAGACGGCAGCACAAGUGUGGAGUGAAAUGCCGGGGCUUAACCCCGGAACUGCUUUGGAAACUGUGCAGCUAGAGUGCAGGAGAGGUAAGUGGAAUUCCUAGUGUAGCGGUGAAAUGCGUAGAUAUUAGGAGGAACACCAGUGGCGAAGGCGGCGUACUGGACUGUAACUGACGUUGAGGCUCGAAAGCGUGGGGAGCAAACAGG